rnacentral:tRNA from 1 species
GGCCCAAUGGUCUAGUAGUAUGAUUCUUCUUUAGGGUAGAAGAGGUCCCGGGUUCAAUUCCCGGUUGGGCCC